AUUGAACGCUGGCGGCAGGCCUAACACAUGCAAGUCGAACGAGUGGCGGACGGGUGAGUAAUGUCUGAGAAACUGCCUGAUGGAGGGGGAUAACUACUGGAAAAGGUAGCUAAUACCGCAUACCAUCAGAUGUGCCCAGAUGGGAUUAGCUAGUAGGUGGGGUAAUGGCGCACCUAGGCAACGAUCCCUAGCUGGUCUGAGAGGAUGACCAGCCACACUGGAAAUUAGACACGGUCCAGACGCCGACGUGAGGCAGCAGUGGGGAAUAGUGGACAAUGGGCGCAAGCCUGAUGCAGCAAUGCCGCGUGUGUGAAGAAGGCCGUCGGGUUGUAAAGCACUUUCAGCGGGGAGGCGUUACCCGCAGAAGAAGCACCGGCUAACUCCGUGCCAGCAGCCGCGGUAAUAC
rnacentral:rRNA from 1 species